rnacentral:tRNA from 1 species
UGGCGCAAUCGGUAGCGCGUAUGACUCUUAAUCAUAAGGUUAGGGGUUCGAGCCCC